rnacentral:rRNA from 1 species
AUUGAACGCUGGCGGCAGGCUUAACACAUGCAAGUCGAGCGGGGGAAGGUAGCUUGCUACCGGACCUAGCGGCGGACGGGUAAGUAAUGCUUAGGAAUCUGCCUAUUAGUGGGGGACAACAUCUCGAAAGGGAUGCUAAUACCGCAUACGUCCUACGGGAGAAAGCAGGGGAUCUUCGGACCUUGCGCUAAUAGAUGAGCCUAAGUCGGAUUAGCUAGUUGGUGGGGUAAAGGCCUACCAAGGCGACGAUCUGUAGCGGGUCUGAGAGGAUGGUCGGCCACACUGGGACUGAGACAAGGCCCAGACUCCUACGGGAGGCAGCAGUGGGGAAUAUUGGACAAUGGGGGGAACCCUGAUCCAGCCAUGCCGCGUGUGUGAAGAAGGCCUUAUGGUUGUAAAGCACUUUAAGCGAGGAGGAGGCUACUCUAGUUAAUACCUAGGGAUAGUGGACGUUACUCGCAGAAUAAGCACCGGCUAACUCUGUGCCAGCCGCCGCAGUAA